ensembl:misc_RNA Metazoa_SRP Metazoan signal recognition particle RNA
GCCGGGCAUGGUGGCUCAUGCCUGUAAUCCUAGCACUUUGGGAGGCCGAGGCAGGCGGAUCACCUGAGGUCAGGAGUUCAAGACCAGCCUGGCCAAUAUGGUGAAACCCUGUUUCUA